rnacentral:misc_RNA from 1 species
AAUUGCAGCUUGGUCGGCAAAAGGAAUCUGUUCUGGCAACAACCAUCAGACGUCAUUCCCCUUAUCAAAGUGCUGUUUCUCGUUAUAGGUAAACAGGCUACCGAAGUAAUGCUCUCUUUAGCAAGCUACAAACAUGAGGUUAACAGUUUUCGCCAAGUCACGUAGUUGAUGGUGAUAGAAUACUCGACCACACGUUUGCCACCAUU